rnacentral:lncRNA from 1 species
AUAUAACUGAGAGAGAGUUCAAAAUUGAAGCACGGUCGGACACAAGCUUCUUCAUCAUCCAUGGCAUCUUCUUCACAGGUUUUGAUUUUUAAUUUUCAUGAAAUUGAAUAGAAUAGAAUAUUUUAUGCUAAAAAACAAUCUAUCCGGCCGGUGAAGUGGCCGGAUAAAUCUGUCCGACCGAGUACAUUGUUUAAAUGAAACAUACCGGCCGAACACAUUUUUCCGGGCACUUCACCGGCCGGACAGAUUCUCUUUAGGCAUGAUAUAUUUUAUUUAAUUAUUCGUAUGUUUAUAUUAAUUAUUAGUAAUUUACUGAAUUUAAUUUAAUUAUAUUGUUUAAGUAAUAAUUAUUGAAUUAUUAUUGCUUUGUUUUGCUGGGUAUUACAUUGCAUUUUUUAUGUUUUUUUCUGCAAUUGAAUAAAAUAAAGUAUUUUAUGCCUAUAGAGAAACUAUCCGGCCGAUACUAUGCCCGUAAUAAUGUGUCCGGCCGGUACAUUUUAUAUCUGAAAUGUACCCGGCCGGACAUAUUUUUCUGGGCACUUCACCGGCCGGACAGUUUCUCUGUAGGCAUAAAAUACUUUAUGCAAUCUAUCUGUAUGUUUAUAUUAAUUAUUACUAUUUUACUGAAUUUAAUUUAAUUAUAAUUGUUUAAUUAUUAAUUAUUGAAUUAUUAUUGCUUGGUAUUAAUUAAAUUGCAGUUUUUUUGUUUAUUUUAUGAAAUUGAAUAAAAUAAAAUAUUCUAUGCCUAUAUAGUGACUGUGCAUAUUAAACUCAUCGAGAAUUAGUAUUGCUUUAUGAAAUUAUAUACAUGAGAUGUGAGAUGUUAGUUUGUGCAUUUUGAUCUAGAUGAGUUUCGAAUUAGGCAUUUUAUGUAUUUUUCUAUUUGUAUUAUUUUUUAAUAUUUUACUGAAUUUAAUAUGGUUUUCAUUUUGUAAAUGAAUAGGCGAAUGUCCCAUAUCUUCGUCCCGACACUAUUGACCAGACGGAGGUUGCUAUCAGCACAUACUAUAGGGAUUCUGCUUUUCCGGAGCUGGUUGAAACUUUAAAUGUGGUCGGCAAUGAGUGCAAUGAAGGGUUAUUGGAAGAUUUAGAGCAUCAUGUUUUGGGCAUUUCACUGAUUGGAGGCCCG